rnacentral:rRNA from 1 species
AGUGAACGCUGGCGGUAGGCCUAACACAUGCAAGUCGAACGGCAGCACAGUAAGAGCUUGCUCUUACGGGUGGCGAGUGGCGGACUGGUGAGGAAUACAUCGGAAUCUACUUUUUCGUGGGGGAUAACGUAGGGAAACUUACGCUAAUACCGCAUACGACCUACGGGUGAAAGCAGGGGAUCUUCGGACCUUGCGCGAUUGAAUGAGCCGAUGUCGGAUUAGCUAGUUGGCGGGGUAAAGGCCCACCAAGGCGACGAUCCGUAGCUGGUCUGAGAGGAUGAUCAGCAACAAUGGAAAUGAGACACGGUCCAGACUCCUACGGGAGGCAGCAGUGGGGAAUAUUGGACAAUGGGCGCAAGCCUGAUCAAGCCAUACCGCGUGAGUGAAGAAGGCCUUCGGGUUGUAAAGCCCUUUUGUUGGGAAAGAAAAGCAGCAGGUUAAAACCCCGCUGUUCUGACGGUACCCAAAGAAUAAGCACCGGCUAACUUCGUG